rnacentral:rRNA from 1 species
GAUGAACGCUGGCGGCAUGCCUAACACAUGCAAGUCGAUCGGUAAGGCUCUUCGGAGUACACGAGAGGCGGACGGCUGAGUAACGCGUAGGAACACACCCUGCAGUGAGGGAUAAGACACCGAAAGGUGUUCUAAUACCGCAUACGGUCUUCGGAUUAAAGCAUUUAUGCGCUGAAGGAGUGGCCUGCGUCAUAUUAGAUAGUUGGUGAGGUAAUGGCUCACCAAGUCGAUGAUGUGUAGCUGGUCUGAGAGGAUGAUCAGCCAGACUGGAACUGAGACACGGUCCAGACUCCUACGGGAGGCAGCAGUGAGGAAUAUUUCACAAUGAGCGAAAGCUUGAUGGAGCAAUGGCGCGUGCAGGAUGAAGGCCCUCGAGUUGUAAACUGCUUUUAUAAGAGAAGAUUAUGACGGUAACUUAUGAAUAAGGGACGGCUAACUACGUG